UACGUAGGGUGCGAGCGUUGUCCGGAAUCAUUGGGCGUAAAGCGCGUGUAGGCGGCUCGGUCAGUCUGAUGUGAAAUCUUGGGGCUCAACCCCAAGCGGUCAUUGGAUACUGCCGGGCUUGAGUCCGGAAGAGGAGAGUGGAAUUCCUGGUGUAGCGGUGAAGUGCGCAGAUAUCAGGAAGAACACCCGUGGCGAAGGCGGCUCUCUGGAACGCAACUGACGCUGAGACGCGAAAGCGUGGGGAGCAAACAGG
rnacentral:rRNA from 1 species